GAGCCCUGAAAAUAAUUUAAAUUCAUUUCUCAAUCACAUUUACAUUCUCUUUUCAAACAUCCUCUUAGGAAAAUGGUCCCUAAACUACGCUCUUAGAGAAACACACACACACCCUUUAACUGUUCUUGUUAUUGUUUGUGACUCCUUAUUAUCCACACCCAGGAAUUCUUUGGGUCUCGUUAAUACGAAAGACAGCCUUCUUUAGCCCCUGUCUUUUAAAACUGUCAGAUAAUUACACAGUUGGCUUUAGAGUUUAACUUGUCAAAGGAGUUUUCAUUACUUUGUUCCUUUUGGGCAACCUGCCCUAUUGUGUUCCUGGAAGACUAAACAGAACCUAUAUUAACUGUCAGUUAAUUAUACACCAUUUUUUCCUUCAGCCUUUACCAGUCAAAGGGGCAGGUAGGCUGCAAUCCUAUCAUCUCAAUCACUGUCUUUUGCCACAAAAGAAUCAAUAAAGAUGAGUCACAUAGUGUCACCUAGCGUCUGAUACUCAAAGCCACCCAUUCCUAAUUGCCUUUAGAGAUGAAUGAUAAUGAAAACUUUGAAGUGAUAAUCAGUCUAAUGAGUGGUCUUGCUGAGAGGGCAGAUCAUGUGUCAGUAGAGUUUGCAGAUGCUUAAAGGCAAACAAAGCCCACUUUCCUUUUAGAGCUGAGAAGACCCUGGCGAGUCUGGUACCCAGAGGCCUGCACAAUGACAGAGACUGGCUCUCAGCGGGAUGCUGAAGCCUGCGGAUCACAACUGACUCCAUCCAUCUUGCUCUUUGCCUUUUAAUCAACCCAGUCAGAGCGAACACUCUUGGAUCUUGUAGCAUCAGCAGUAGAGAGCAUCACACGCACACCCCACUUCUGUAUGGCUUGCAAACUUUUGGAAGAAUCCUGGAAAGAAAGUGAAGGCCGGAUCCGCCACAAAGUUCUGUUGCACAGGGAAAGACACAGGAGGAAGGCGAAGAUGCGGGAGCCGGGAGGGUCCACUUCUCAGGAAAUUUGCACCCUCAAGAAGCUGAGAUUUUCACGGGCUGCUAAGAACUUUUUGGUUCAUUGGAUAUUUAUGCAUAGGAUUUCUUCUCAAAUGUCGCUGAUAUAAAGAAGCCCAAGCUGUGAUAAACUGAUGGCUGAAGAGGACUUGAAGUUCCUGCCAAGGCAAAGGUGGCCAUCAUCUUAACAGAUGUACUCAAUUUUGAGUGUAUUGAUUUAACUCCUGCAUAAAAUAUGGUAUAAGCAAAGAACAGAAGGGGAAAGAUUUGAAUAUUUACUGUGUAAUUGUAUCAUACUAACUAAGGAUAUGUAUGCAAUAUUUUAUUUGUAUGGGACCAACAGGAAAAAAGUUUACUUCCAUCCCCAUAUCUUGUAGCACCUGAAGGCAAACGAAUUUAUUAUAGCAUAAGCUUUUGUAGAAUACUAAGGUAGAUUUCCCUGGAUGCACAUAGCGAGUGGACAUGCUUUAAAAUGUGCUGUAAGAUACAGCGUUGUGGCCAUAUGAGUAACCUACAUAUGAAUUUUAGGAUCCUGUUGCUUCAGUACAAAUAGGGAGAAAUUGGUUCUUGUGACAGCUUGAACAGAAAUAGAUGAACUCAUGGCAGUUACAUCCUAUGGUUAAGCAUUUGAGUUAACAGGAGUAAAACUCAUUCCUGACCCAGCCUUUGUGAUCAACAACUUCUCUCUGUUUGCAUUAAAUCAAAAGGAUUCUAAAAUUCAGAUAUUAUCUGUUAGCAACGUCUCCACAGUAAGUAUGGGAAGCUGGUGAGUUUAUUUAUUCUCAACAAAAAUUUGAGAUAUAAGCAAAUAUUAUUCCUGUUUUUAACACAGAUCAUAGGUUUGAGAGACUGCUUCUAUUUUAGAAUAAAUGUUCCUGUGAUAAUUCUACCCCUGCUAAUAGUCUUCCUUUUUAGUUGCAACACCAGACAUUAGAGCAAAUGUAAUAUCAGCUAGGGGACACUAAGACUGAUAUGUAAAACUCAAAUUAAAAUUUUGAUUAUUUUAUCCAGAAAAGCCAACACUGAUA
ensembl:lncRNA